GUCUCCUUCUUUGGAGGUCUUUAAGCAGAGGCUUGACAACCAUAUGUCAGGAGUGCUCUGAUGGUGUUUCCUGCUUGGCAGAGGGUUGGACUCGAUGGCCCUUGUGGUCUCUUCCAACUCUAUGAUUCUAUGAUUCUAGGUUCCCACGGAAAAUGUUGAUUUCACAUACACACUUGUGGGGCCUGAACUGGUGGUGAAGACCAGGAGUGGGUCCUCUGGGUUGUAGCAGAGAGAGAGAAAGCAGUAGAGAUGUUGGGCCCAUGUGCAACAGCCGUGAAAAAGGCAAAUUCCACACUAGGGAUCAUCAGGAAAGGAAUUG